AUUAUAAUUAGGAGAGACCUUAGGGGAGGUCUUCUAUGAGGGGUUCAUGAACCUUUGAACACUUUGCUACUCAACGUGUGGUCACUGGACCAGCAGCACCAGCAUUCUCCGGGAACCUGUUACAAAUGCAGAAUCUGAGCCCCCACCCCCGGCCCGCUGCACCAGAAUCUGCAAUUCAAAAAGAGACCACGAUCCCCAGGUGAUACAUGUGUACAUUAAGGUUUGAGACCCACUGGUCUAUUGAAUCCAUUGGGCAAAAUGUUUUGCAUUGUCUAUGAGGGAUCCCGGAGUUCUCAUGUGAUUUUCACAUUGACCUGUGACUACAAAAUUUAAUUGCUGCUUUGGAGAUUUGUGAAGUCCAGGGCAGUGUUGAUAAAAGGUUUUGCUUCCCUGAUCAAUCCCUGUGAGUUAUUUGGAGCUAGAGAUUUCUUCUAGGGUUAUACAUUAUGCAAGUAUGGAAGACGGUGAAGAAGUCUAUGGAAGGCUGUUGUCUCCAAACCUGGUGGUUGGCCUGAACUCACCAUAGAUCAGCAGGGCUGAGAGUCCGGGAGACAGGAAGUAGGGGAGAAUAAGGAAAACCUGGAAUGCACAAGGGACAAGAAGAACCCAGAUCUGUCACAGGUGACCUGCAGAAGGAAGCUACCAGGAGGCUGCUCUGCUCGCGCACCUGGCCCAGGACUCAUUGGAGCUGGAAGAGCUGCAGGCCUGGCCCGUAAUCAGCAACACCGAGCAGGUGCUUCAACAUCGCCCAGCCCUUCUGAGCCUACUGGAUGUGGCUUCACUUCUGCCUUCCAGUUCACUAUAGGUUUCUUUUGUGGCCAACCUUGGCCUGGAAACAUACAGCAGAAAGAAUCCUGGGAAACACAGUUCCAGCUUAGAUAUUGUUGCUGCAGUACAAGUUCUCAAACUCAACCUUCUCCUGGGCUAGGUAGUGCUUCUCGAACGUCAAUAUGCAGAGAAAUCACCUGACAGUCUUAUAAAAAUGCCAGAUUGAACUCAGCAGUUCUGGAUGAGGCCUGGGAUUGAGAACGUCUUGCAUGGUCCCAGGAGGUGAGGAACACUGUCUUCAGGAGCUAACAGUCCCGCUGGGUCAGGGAGCUUCCACGAGAUGACUAGAGCUGCACAUUAGGAUUACCUGGAGAGAUUUAAAACUAUCCCAUUGCUGGGCUGCGCCAGAGACCACUGACAUCAGAACACAGAUGGGUGAAGCCCAAGCCUCAGGAUGUUUAAAGUCCCUCAAGUGAUUCCAGAGUGCAGCUAGGGUUGAGAAGCACUGAAUUAGGGAAAGUUGGUAUGAAUUUUUUGGUGCUGGAGGGAAGUUCAGGGGUGGGAGGGAGGCAGGGAGGGCUUUCUAGAAGAGCAGCUUCUAGAGUUUCCCAAGGGAAGGCCCUAGAACGGCACUGUCUGGGACAGGAGCUAUGAUCCCCCAGUUGUUAUGGGUCGUCUGAAACUGCAUUGAGCAAAAUACACACUUGAUUUGGAAAAUUUGGUAUAAAUAAAAUAAGGAAAAUAUUUUAUUAA